GAUGAACGCUGGCGGCGUGCCUAAUACAUGCAAGUCGAGCGAACGGACGAGAAGCUUGCUUCUCUGAUGUUAGCGGCGGACGGGUGAGUAACACGUGGAUAACCUACCUAUAAGACUGGGAUAACUUCGGGAAACCGGAGCUAAUACCGGAUGAUAUUUUGAACCGCAUGGUUCAAAACUGAAAGACGGUCUUGCUGUCACUUAUAGAUGGAUCCGCGCUGCAUUAGCUAGUUGGUAAGGUAACGGCUUACCAAGGCAACGAUGCAUAGCCGACCUGAGAGGGUGAUCGGCCACACUGGAACUGAGACACGGUCCAGACUCCUACGGGAGGCAGCAGUAGGGAAUCUUCCGCAAUGGGCGAAAGCCUGACGGAGCAACGCCGCGUGAGUGAUGAAGGUCUUCGGAUCGUAAAACUCUGUUAUUAGGGAAGAACAUAUGUGUAAGUAACUGUGCACAUCUUGACGGUACCUAAUCAGAAAGCCACGGCUAACUACGUG
rnacentral:rRNA from 1 species